AUCAGAGUCAAUAUUUUCUAAUAUUGACCUGACCAGACAAACUGUAGGGGCAUGAUCUCUACACCAAAACAACUGAAUUAAGCUAAAGUUGUUUUGGUGCUUAGAGUACCUAUUUAACUUUUUUGUGAGAGAUCCAAAUUAGGUUUAUUAAAUAAGCUUGAUGACCAAUUUUCAGUUGCAUAAAAAGCCCAGUGAUGGGUUUUUCAUAUGUAUUCUAAUUUAUACUAAAGUUCUGCAAAACACCUUCAUUAGCCUUUUCUAUCUAUUUUAAAUUGGUCCCCGCUUUCCAACACAUUGGGGAAACAAUGCGGUUACGAAGAGAGAAGAAGAAAAAAUAAAAAUAAACUUUAAUGUGAGAAGUUGACCUCAUGAUCACAGCUUCCUUCUUGCAAAUAUUUGCGAAC